CCGGCGCGCCCCACCAUGUCAGACGCAGCCGUAGACACCAGCUCCAAAAUCACCACCAAGGACUUGAAGGAGAAGAAGGAAGUUGUGGAAGAGGCGGAAAAUGGAAGAGACGCCCCUGCUAACGGGAAUGCGAAUGAGGAAAAUGGGGAGCGGGAGCCUGACAAUGAGGUAGAUGAAGAGGAAGGUGGGGAGGCAGAGGAGGAGGAGGAAGAAGGUGAUGGUGAGGAGGAGGAUGGAGAUGAAGAUGGGGGGCUGAGUCUGCUACGGGCAAGCGGGCAGCUGCCGAUGAUGAAGACGACGAUGUGGAUGCCGAGAAGCAGAAGACCGACGACGAUGACUACGCAGCAAAAAAGGAAAACUUAAACCAAAAAAAAAAAAGCUGCCGUGACCUCUUCACCCUGACUUCCCAUCUCAGAAUCUAA